GAUGAACGCUGGCGGCGUGCCUAAUACAUGCAAGUCGAGCGAACGGACGAUACGCUUGCUUCUCUGAUGUUAGCGGCGGACGGGUGUGUAACACGUGGAUAACCUACCUAUAAGUCUGGGAUAACUUCGGGACACCGGCGCUAAUACCGGAUAAUAUUUUGAACCGCAUGGUUCAAAAGUGAAAGACGGUCUUGCUGUCACUUAUAGCUGGAUCCGCGCUGCAUUAGCUAGUUGGUAAGGUAACGGCUUACCAAGGCAACGAUGCAUAGCCGACCUGAGAGAGUGAUCGGCCACACUGGAACUGAGACACGGUCCAGAGGCCUGCGGGAGGCAGCAGUAGGGAAUCUUCCGCAAAGGGCGAAAGCCUGACGGAGCAACGCCGCGUGAGUGAUGAAGGUCUUCGGAUCGUAAAACUCUGUUAUUAGGGAAGAACAUAUGUGUAAGUAGCUGUGCACAUCUUGACGGUACCUAAUCAGAAAGCCACGGCUAACUACGUG
rnacentral:rRNA from 1 species